rnacentral:lncRNA from 1 species
CGAAUGCAGCUGUGCCGGCGGGGGGAGGCAAUUCUGUAGGUGGAGGAGGGAAGGAUGUUGAACUGAUGUGCAAGACACUCCAAGUUGAGCACAAGCUGUUCUACUUUGAUUUGAAGGAUAACCUUCGAGGCCGGUACUUGAAGAUCUCUGAGAAGACUUCGUCCACCAGGUCUACGAUCAUCGUCCCUUCCUCCGGGAUUUCCUGGUUCUUGGACGUCUUCAAUUACUUUGUCACUUCUGAUGAGCAGGAUUUGUUCAGCAAGGAGUUACCGUUGGACACCAAGGUAGCUUCUUCCGCACUCUUUAUCGGUUCCCUUUCGAAAUUCUGUAACUCAUGUUGUUGCAUUGUGCAUGAAAGUUGUUCUAUUUUGACGUCGGGGAUAACAGAAGAGGACGCUUCCUCAAGGUAACUUGAAGCUUCCAUAUCACUCAAAUGUCGUGCUUAAGCUUGUUCAGGUCUUAUGAACUAUGGUUCUUUGUGAAAGGUUUCCUAUUGUGUGCUGUCUUUCAAGGAAUGCUGAACAUUUGGAGAAUCUGAUAUGCAUUAGAUAUGUACAUGCUUGUUGAUUUAUUAGCGAAUCGGAAAGAUAAUAGUUAGACGAUUGAUCCAUCCAGAAGAAUAGAGAACUCUCAAGUGUUGUAAACACUUUGUAUUUGAUCAUGAGAAUCUUCUUAGAUUCUCAUUCUUGUAAUGUCCAUUGAAGAUCUGUUAAGUUGGUUCGGAAAGCCUCCAUUCAUUUCAUUUUGGUUACGAAAGCUCUUGCCUUUACAGUUUUAAAUACGACAUUUUGUGCAGAUCUCAGAAGCUUCUGUUAGCAGAAACCGCAGUACGAUCAUUGUUCCUGCUGGAAGUUCCAGGGAUGAAGGUUGGGCUUCAUUUAGAAACAUUUUGGAAGAGAUCAACGAAGCAUCAAGGCUUUUCCUGCCUCCAGGCACUCAGGUUGACUGUCUAUAUAUAUAUAUAUAUACAUAUACAUUCCACAUUUCUUCUAACUCAAUGACGGACCCGACAUACUUUUGUGAAUUGCAGCAAAGUUCUGAAUCAUUGGAGCGUCUAGUUGGACUCUCUGAUGAUGUUGGCGCUGGCUUCAUACCAGGACAUAGCAGUCAAACUGCUCCAACUCAAGAACUAAACGUGGAUCGCUCAGUUUAUUUACCAACUCCGGAUGAGAUUGGUAACCUAGGGGUGUCAAAGGUUAUCCGAGUCGAUCAAAAGAGAUUCUUCUUCGAUCUCGGGAGUAACAAUCGUGGCCAUUUCUUGAGGAUCUCUGAGGUGAGAUACUUUUUUUGUGUCAUGAUGCCAACUUUGGUGGAUAAGUGGAUUCAUAUUAUCUAUAAUAACACAUUUAACACCAAAUUUGCAGCUUGCUGGUGCUGAUAGAUCCUCCAUAAUUCUUCCACUUUCCGGACUUAAACAGUUCCAUGAAAUUGUCGGCCACUUCGUCGACAUCACCAAAGAUCGAGUCGAAGCGAUUGGGGGCAGCGCAAACGUCCGAACUGUUGAAACCCCUCAAAGAUGAAUUCUUUUUUUCUGAAAUAGAAUGAUUGCUUGAGCCUGAAGGUAUUCUGCAAAAUACAAUAAAAAUGGAAUUCCAAAUUGCAAUUUCUUUCUGCAAUGGCUCUUCUGAUACUGAACUCUAGACUAUCAGUCUCUGAUAUUCGAGUUUCGGUAUGAUUUUGUGUUCGAUUAGUACUCGGUCGAACCGAACAACUUUCCAAGAGUCAUGGGGUGGGAUUCAUUACAGAAAAGUCUUGUUAUACAGUUAGCAGUAAAUAAUAUGGACAGCUAUAAAGUUGCCAGCUUGAAGCUAUGUUGACUCCUGUGAUCCUCUUUCCAAGUUCCCUCUUAUACUUACCUUGGUGAAUGAACCAUUAAAGAAAAAAAAAAUUAGAAAAUUGUAUGCAUGGUUUUCAGAGUCGGAUCGGAGAUCGAUGGCCGGCCAAUUCUAUUGUUAGGGUGGACUUUUGUCCAAUAUUAUUAAUCGGGUACUAAAUAAGGGAAAGAGAUUUCAAUACAGUCAACUUGGAUACAAUUAAAUAACUCAAUUGUAAAUAAAAUAAUUUGAUAAAAUUUAAAAGGAAGAGAAUUCUCAAGAACGUCUCAAUCUUAUUGUUUUAUCGAGUGUCGUGCAUCACUGAUUUAAACCUUUAUGGAUAUAGAAGGCCACCACUGCAAAGUCCACCUAAAAUUUCACAUUUUUACAGCCAUUCUCGUAAACUAGAUGAAGUUCGUAAAUAACUGCACGGAGUUCCGCUCAAGUAAUAGUUGCAAAGGCCUUCAAAAAUAAUAUGUGAUUAUCAAACAAUUGAACCUCUUUUAAAUUUUUAUUCCCCAAUUCAAAGGCGUUUCCGUGUGAGUUUAGGAUUCUCUUAAAAAGGCCAGGCCCAAUCAUAAAUGGGCUAGACGCGCGUAUAGUGCACGUGAUUUAGUCAACUCCAACGCGCCCCCGCCAUUUAAUUUGUCACUCACUCAGAGCUUGAAUGCGAAACUGUCGGCUGAUGAAGAUGGAGAAGAAGAAGAAAUGCCGAUUAGUUGCUUUCUGAUGGUAAACCACUAUCAAACCUAAUACAAUUUCUCCAAGAGGUAAACCCAUCUCGUUGAUUGCACUUUCCGUUUGGAAAGUCCAUUUCAAUCUGAUUAGAUUUUGAUCUUCAAUUUCUCCUACUUUGAUUUUGGUCAAUUACUAGGGUUUCCGUACUAACUUCAGGAUUAUUAAUGGUAAUUGAUUUCACUGUUUUCGUUUAGUGUUAUGAUCGAUUGAAUUUCAGUUGGAAUCGUUCAACCCCUUAUUUCUGUUUUGAUUGAACUUGAUCAGGAAAUUGAAAUUUCAUCAUUUGGUAAUUCAUCAGUGAUCAAGAAAGGGAAAAACUUUCCACCUGAUUCUGAGCAUUCUCGAGCUCCGAUGAUGGAGGGGAAUGCGGGUGGUAGCGGAGGGGCGGUAACAGUUUCGACAGCAGCUGUUCCGGCGGGGGGAGGCAAUGCUGUAGGUGGAGGAGGAGGGAAGGAUGUUGAGCUGAUGUGCAAGACACUCCAAGUGGAGCACAAGCUGUUCUACUUUGAUUUGAAGGAUAACCUUCGAGGCCGGUACUUGAAGAUCUCUGAGAAGACUUCGUCCACCAGGUCUACGAUCAUCGUCCCUUCCUCUGGGAUUGCCUGGUUCUUGGACCUCUUCAAUUACUUUGUUACUUCUGAUGAGCAGGAUUUGUUCAGCAAGGAGUUA